rnacentral:rRNA from 1 species
UAAGGAAUAUUGGUCAAUGGACGCAAGUCUGAACCAGCCAUGCCGCGUGAAGGAUUAAGGUCCUCUGGAUUGUAAACUUCUUUUAUCUGGGACGAAAAAAGGCGAUUCUUCGUCACUUGACGGUACCAGAUGAAUAAGCACCGGCUAACCCCGUGCCAGCAGCCGCGGUAAUACGGAGGGUGCAAGCGUUAUCCGGAUUCACUGGGUUUAAAGGGUGCGUAGGCGGGCAGGUAAGUCAGUGGUGAAAUCCUGGAGCUUAACUCCAGAACUGCCAUUGAUACUAUCUGUCUUGAAUAUUGUGGAGGUAAGCGGAAUAUGUCAUGUAGCGGUGAAAUGCUUAGAUAUGACAUAGAACACCUAUUGCGAAGGCAGCUUACUACGCAUAUAUUGACGCUGAGGCACGAAAGCGUGGGGAUCAAACAGGAUUAGAUACCCUGGUAGUCCACGCCCUAAACGAUGGAUACUCGACAUACGCGAUACACUGUGUGUGUCUGAGCGAAAGCAUUAAGUAUCCCCACCUGGGAAGUACACCGCAAGGUUGAAACUUAAAUGAAUUGACGGGGUCAUAGCUGUUUCCUG